GACGGACCGUGCGAACGUUGUUCGGAAUCACUGGGCUUAAAGGGCGCGUAGGCGGGCGGCCGCGUCCGGGGUGAAAUCCCACGGCUCAACCGUGGAACGGCCUCGGAUACGGGCGGCCUCGAGGGGGGUAGGGGCAUCUGGAACUGUGAGUGGAGCGGUGAAAUGCGUUGAUAUUCACAGGAACUCCGGUGGCGAAGGCGAGGUGCUGGACCCCAUCUGACGCUGAGGCGCGAAAGCCAGGGGAGCGAACGGG
rnacentral:rRNA from 1 species